rnacentral:lncRNA from 1 species
UUGAAGAUAACGUGAAUGAUCAAGAACAAAAAGAUUAAUUUUAGCUUCAUUCUUUUUUUUUAAUCAUUUUACCAAAAAGAAAAAAAUAACAGGAAGAUGACUAAUAAAAAAAAGAUACAAACAGAGUACUGUAAAAAGAUGUUGUUCACAAUAUCAAACAUUAUAGUCUCAAAAAUAGUCAACUUUGUAUUAAAUAUUAGUCAAAAUAAUAAAAUACAUAAUAUU